AGGCCCCGCCCCGCAGCCCAGCCGGAAGGGCCGGCGGACGCUCGCUAGGUCGGCUCGCUGGCCGGGGCUCCGCGGCUCCCGUGGUUGCCAUGGCGGCGGUUGUCGCGGCGACGAGGUGGUGGCGGCUGUUGCUGGUGCUCAGCGCCGCGGGGAUGGGGGCCUCGGGCGCCCCGCAGCCCCCCAACAUCCUGCUCCUGCUCAUGGACGACAUGGGAUGGGGCGACCUCGGGGUGUAUGGAGAGCCCUCCAGAGAGACCCCGAAUUUGGACCGGAUGGCUGCAGAAGGGAUGCUUUUCCCAAACUUCUAUUCUGCCAACCCUCUGUGCUCGCCAUCGAGGGCGGCACUGCUCACAGGACGGCUACCCAUCCGCAAUGGCUUCUACACCACCAACGCCCACGCCAGAAACGCCUACACACCGCAGGAGAUCGUGGGCGGCAUCCCAGACUCGGAGCAGCUCCUGCCGGAGCUUCUGAAGAAGGCCGGCUACGUCAGCAAGAUCGUCGGCAAGUGGCAUCUGGGUCACAGGCCCCAGUUCCACCCCCUGAAGCACGGAUUUGAUGAGUGGUUUGGAUCCCCCAACUGCCACUUUGGACCUUAUGACAACAAGGCCAGGCCCAACAUCCCUGUGUACAGGGACUGGGAGAUGGUUGGCAGAUAUUAUGAAGAAUUUCCUAUUAAUCUGAAGACGGGGGAAGCCAACCUCACCCAGAUCUACCUGCAGGAAGCCCUGGACUUCAUUAAGAGACAGGCACGGCACCACCCCUUUUUCCUCUACUGGGCUGUCGACGCCACGCACGCACCCGUCUAUGCCUCCAAACCCUUCUUGGGCACCAGUCAGCGAGGGCGGUAUGGAGACGCCGUCCGGGAGAUUGAUGACAGCAUUGGGAAGAUGCUGGAGCUCCUCCAAGACCUGCACGUCGCGGACAACACCUUCGUCUUCUUCACGUCGGACAACGGCGCUGCCCUCAUUUCCGCCCCCGAACAAGGUGGCAGCAACGGCCCCUUUCUGUGUGGGAAGCAGACCACGUUUGAAGGAGGGAUGAGGGAGCCUGCCCUCGCAUGGUGGCCGGGGCACGUCGCUGCAGGCCAGGUGAGCCACCAGCUGGGCAGCAUCAUGGACCUCUUCACCACCAGCCUGGCCCUUGCGGGCCUGACGCCGCCCAGCGACAGGGCCAUCGAUGGCCUCAACCUCCUCCCCACCCUCCUGCAGGGCCGGCUGAUGGACAGGCCUAUCUUCUAUUACCGUGGCGACACGCUGAUGGCGGCCACCCUCGGGCAGCACAAGGCUCACUUCUGGACCUGGACCAACUCCUGGGAGAACUUCAGACAGGUUUUACCCAGCACUGCCACCUGCGAGGGCCAUCCUGGGCAUCGUUCCCUGGGCACUGCCACCUGCGAGGGCCAUCCUGGGCAUCGGUCCCGGGCACUGCCACCUGCGAGGGCCAUCCUGGGCAUCGGUCCCCGGCACUGUCACCUGCGAGGGCCAUCCUGGGCAUCGGUCCCCGGCACUGUCACCUGCGAGGGCCAUCCUGGGCAUCGGUCCCCGGCACUGUCACCUGCGAGGGCCGUCCUGGGCAUCGGUCCCCGGCAUUGCCGCCUGCGAGGGCCGUCCUGGGCAUCGGUCCCCGGCAUUGCCGCCUGCGAGGGCCGUCCUGGGCAUCGGUCCCCGGCAUUGCCGCCUGCGAGGGCCGUCCUGGGCAUCGGUCCCCGGCAUUGCCGCCUGCGAGGGCCGUCCUGGGCAUCGGUCCCCGCCGCCUGCGAGGGCCGUCCUGGGCAUCGGUCCCCGGCACUGUCACCUGCGAGGGCCGUCCUGGGCAUCGGUCCCCGGCAUUGCCACCUGCGAGGGCCGUCCUGGGCAUCGGUCCCCGGCAUUGCCGCCUGCGAGGGCCGUCCUGGGCAUCGGUCCCCCAGCAUUGUCACCUGCGAGGGCCGUCCUGGGCAUCGGUCCCCCAGCAUUGCCGCCUGCGAGGGCCGUCCUGGGCAUCGGUCCUCGGACGAGCCCCUUGGCCUGCAGCACCCGCUCUGGGAAUGUUGGAGGCAUACCUCCCCUUUCCCGAAUCAGGAAGCCCAGGGGCAGCAGAAAGAGAACUGUGGUUACUGUAAAAUCCUCGCCCUUCUUGAGUGUGUGAAUCUGCGUCAGCUCCCUGGGGCAUUGAUUUCUGCCCUGGGCAGAACGUUUCCGGGGUCACAACUCACAAUCUGGAAGACCACACGAAGCUGCCCCUGAUCUUCCACCUGGGACGGGACCCAGGGGAGAGGUUUCCCCUCAGCUUUGCCAGCGCCGAGUACCAGGAGGCCCUCAGCAGGAUCACCUCGGUUGUCCAGCAGCACCAGGAGGCCUUGGUCCCCGGGCAGCCCCAGCUCAACGUGUGCAACUGGGCAGUCAUGGCACCCACCCAGAGCAGCACCUCCGUGCGGCCUGACCAGGCCUUGUUCACCUCCAGUAGAGAAACGGCCUCAUCACACCAGCAUCGGCCAGAAACACAAGCACAAACGUGCCUCCAAAGUUUCACUGAAGUCUGUGUUCAAGCCACAAAGGAUGCGUCGUCUUGUCCAGCCCUGGGGGCCGCAGCAGUCAGGGCCUCUCAGGAGCAGCUUUUCUGUCCCCUGCUUGGGGGUCCCAUAGGGUGGCGUGUGGACGGCCCAGCCAUCCCGCGUGUGCAGUGGCCGCAAAGGCCUGUUUCCCAGCACAGCUGAUGUGGGUCCCAGCAGGGCAGGUCUUCACAGCUCCUUCAGAUGGGACAUGUGCGGCCCUCGCUCUAGUCGGCAAAAACGAGCCACACACACGUCUGCGGUGUCGCUCCUGGGUGCCCAGAGCCCACCGAGCACAGUGGAGAUGGCUGAGCCCAGCCUCGAGGCCCCUGGGCCGUCGCUCACCUGUUUACACGGGCUGGGCGUGGCUGCCCACAGCCCCUGGAUCGCAGGAUUCGGGAAGAAGGCCCCUCGGCAGCUGCAGACUGCAGCCUGGGCUCCUGCUGUGCGGGCGAAAAGGCCCAGCUGAAGCCUCUUUCCAGGGCCAGACCCGGCUGCAGCGUGGGAGCCGCUGGGUGCCCGCUGUGCCGUGGGAAGGAAGGUGGUGGCUCUGAACAGCCAGGGAGCCACAGCGUGGGCCGGCGGAUGUAACAGGAGAGCACCGGACAUCGGGAGCACCUCCCAGCAGUGAGGACCAUGGAGGGCAGAUUGCCUUGUCCCUGCCCAGGGACCGUCCACCCUGCGGGGGUUAUUUAGGACUGGGCAGGGCAGGGCCACCUCCGUUAGUUGGGGGGCGGGGGGCGGGGGUGCCUGGCAAGUUUCAUAGGAAGAUAUUCAGGGCCCUUCCUUCAAAGGGACCUGGGCAGCUGGCGUCCCCACCUCUGGACUCAGUGGUGGAGCAGGGAGGUCCCUGUCUCAGGACCCCUGAGUCUCGGGAGCCCAGGGCCGCCAGCCGUGGAGGAGCCCUGGCCUUCUGCCCUCCACACCCAAUCCCACUCCGUGCUGCUGGGUCCUUCUCUACGACCCAGGCUGCAGUGGCUCCACGGGCGCAGGCCACACCCGCCAUGGAGACAGUGGGCACAGGGCAGGGGAGGUGGGCGCACACGGCCUGGCUGCUGCUGCCAUCUCCUAGGCACUGGGGGAACUGCCCCCCACCGCCACACCUGUGCUCUCUGCAGGGGGAAAAGUGGUGCCAACUCAGACCUGGCGAGCUGAGCCACUGGGGUCUGAGGGGCCCAGACGCCACCGUGAGCAGAGCCAUGGGGGAGAUGCACAGACACGCGUGUGAAGCCUGGGGGCCCUCCUUACCCCUUCCCUGCCCUCUGUCCCCGCCAACUCCAGGCCAGCCCCAGGAGAGGGGCUCAGUGGCGUCUCUGGCACAGAGGAGAGGGAGUAUGGCCACCUGGACUCCUGCUCCUGGGACAGCUGAGCGGCCUUUGAGAAAUGCAGAUCCCCCAUCCAGACUCACACACACCCUGCGGCUGCCUCUGCUGCCCCUGGAGUUUGGGAGCAGCUUCUCAUCCAAACCCACUCCUGCUCUGGUGGCCAAGGGGGCAGGGACACUCAUGCGGCAUCCCUGCUGCCGCCUAGGGCUGGAGACUGUCCUUAGUACCCUGAGCAGCACCCAGAAUCCAAAGUCUGUCCCGGGAAAGUGCCCUCAGGGCCAUGCGGCAUCUGAUGUGGCACAGAAGUGGCCUGGACGGGGACACAGAACCAAACUGCACUCAUUUCAGCCAAGAAGGCUCCUCUUAGCGGCAACUGGGCACCUCCGGGCUGUGAAAAGUUAGGGAAGUGUCUGACACCUCCAGAAUCCAUUCCCAAGAAGUGCCUCUGGUCCCACUAGCGCCUGCGCAGACCCAGGCCAGGCCUGGAAUCUCGGUUGGCCCUGCAAGUGCCUGGAGGAAGGAUGGCUCUGGCCUCGGUCCUCCCCCAACCCUGCCCAAGCCAGACAGACAGCACCUGCAGACGCAGGGGGACUGCACAAUUCCACCUGCCCAGGACCUGACCCUGGCGUGUGCUUGGCCCUCCUCCUCGCCCACGGCGCCUCAGAUUUCAGGACCCUCCUCCUCGCCCACGGCGCCUCAGACCUCAGGACCCUGCCGUCUCACGCCUUUGUGAACCCCAAAUAUCUGAGACCGGUCUCAGUUUAUUUUGCCAAGGUUAAGGAUGCACCUGUGACAGCCUCAGGAGGUCCUAAUAACAGGUGCCCCAGGUGGCUGGGGAUACAGUUUGCCUUUAUACAUCUUAGGGAGACACAAGAUCAGUAUGUGUAUGGCGUACAUUGGUUCAGUCAGCCUUCCACUGAAUACACGAUUGAGUCUGGCCCAGUGAAUCUGCAUUUUUAUGUAAACAGUAAGGGAAGGGGGCAAUCACAUAAACGUUUGUCUCAGGGGAGCCCCAGAGGGAUGACUUCCAGUUCCAUCUGUCCUUUGUCCACAAGGAAUUUCCCUGGGCGCUAAUUAUGAGGGAGGCGUGUAGCUUCUUAUCAUUGUAGCUAUGUUAUUUAGAAAUAAAACGGGAGGCAGGUUUGCCUAAUUCCCAGCUUGA